UACGGAGGAUGCGAGCGUUAUCCGGAUUUAUUGGGUUUAAAGGGUGCGUAGGCGGCUUAGUAAGUCAGCGGUGAAAUUUUGCAGCUUAACUGUAACAGUGCCGUUGAUACUGCCAGGCUAGGAUUUGGUUGCUGUGGGUGGAAUGUGAGGUGUAGCGGUGAAAUGCUUAGAUAUCACACAGAAUAUCGAUUGCGAAGGCAGCUCACAAAGCCAAGAUUGACGCUGAGGCACGAAAGUGUGGGGAUCAAACAGGA
rnacentral:rRNA from 1 species